rnacentral:tRNA from 1 species
GUUCUUGUAGUUGAUUUACAACGGUGGUUUUUCGAGUCACUAGACCUGGUUAGAGUCCGGGUAAGAAUU